rnacentral:rRNA from 1 species
GUAGUCCACGCUGUAAACGAUGGGUGCUAGGUGUCGGGGGUAUCGACCCCUCCGGUGCCGUCGCUAACGCACUAAGCACCCCGCCUGGGGACUACGGCCGCAAGGCUAAAACUCAAAGGAAUUGACGGGGCCCGCACAAGCAGCGGAGCGUGUGGUUUAAUUCGAUGCAACGCGAAGAACCUUACCCGGACUUGACAUGCAGGUGGUACUGCGGCGAAAGCCAAGGGACCCGCAAGGGAGCCUGUGCAGGUGCUGCACGGCUGUCGUCAGCUCGUGCCGUGAGGUGUUGGGGUUAAG